GCUGUCAUUCAGCCAUGCUUGUGAGCCUGUCUGAAGUGUCGCCCAGAUACAGCUACGCUGCUGGUUUCAGAGGCUGCCAGUGUGAGGCUUUGGGUUUUCGAAUGCCCAGAAGGAAGGAUCCCCAACCCCUUUCCACUGGAAGAGAGGUCUAGUUUGGUCAGGGACCCUAGCAGGCAGAGAGGUCUGGGUUUAUGGCUUAGGCAGCCAUAUCUGCCUGGAGUCUCUUAACUGACAAGCUCUAACCCAGCUAAUGAACUUGCUGUGGUCAGACUGCUAGGCCAGACUGCCUAAAACUCAGUCCCUGUAGGUUUUUAACUUGCUUUGGGCAAUGCUCUGACUUUCUUGGGAAACAGCCAUUACAUGCAUGUUAGAAUCAUUGUCGUCUAUGCCCAUUCAUUAAUAUUUAUGGCACUGCUCCUAUCGCCUUACCUGGACUUUGCAUUUAGGGCACUGCAGAGGUUUGACUAGAACAACCGUUUCCCUAGACUGACUAAUGUUGUAGGUUUGAAGUGUUGUCUCACAAACCUGUUGAUCCACGGGUGGGGUUUUGGUCAGCACUGUAGUGUUCGGCAAUUGGCACUCUUCAUUAUAGUACAGCAGUGUGCAGGCCCAAGCUGAGAUCCCCAUUGUGCAAGGUGCUGUACAAACACACAAGUUGCAUCCCUGCUUUAAAGAGUUCGCUGGUUCUGUAGCAGGGUGGUGCUCUGUUACUAGCAGGGACCUGAGUGGCAGCUAGGCAGCCUGCAGCUGCCUACAAUGCCAAUUAAGCAGUGGCCUGACUGGGAGUAGGGCCCUGCUGUGCUCUAUAAGAGCUGAGCCCUGAACUGCAAAGAGGUGGCAUCUUGCUGCCAGCAGCUGGGGAGAAUACCACCCAGCUGGGCUGCUGCUCAGAGCAACAUCUUGGAGGCUGCAGCUAGGGGGAAGGAGGAGGCCCCAUGGUCCUGGGCAUGACUGAAAACUGCACCCUGCUGGGGACCGGUGGCCUGGUGGGACUGUCUGUGGUGAGACAGUCCCCCAGAAAUGCCAGGCCAUUUACUGCCCCAGUGAAAGGCAAGUAUGGGGCACCUCUUAAGCCCAGGCCCACAUCCGUGGUGAGUGAGAUUGAGCAGGGGGAGCCCAGACUUGCCGAGAGUACUGAGGCAGGGCUCAGGUCAGUGGAAGAACAUGUGGCAGUGCUCAGACUCUCAGUGGAGGUCUGAGGCUGCAUAUAGGAGCUAGCAUGAAGCUCCACGGAAGUAGGGCCCUGAGCCCUGGGGAGCUAUUAAGGAAGGUCCCAAGGCCAGGGAUGAGGGGAUAGCCCAGGAGGGCUUGGGGAUUCCAGAGAAGGGGUUGGAGCCCAGUGUAUGUUUGUAAAGAGAGAAGCCAGGGUGAGGGUGCUGGGACCGCAAGCUCUGGUGGGGAGUGACACUCCCACGUGAGAGUCCAGAGCUCAGGUCUCAGUGCUAGCUAGCUGGAGGAAACAUCUGCGAGGCAUGGGGUACGAAAGGAAAGGUCAGUCAUAUACAUAGGCCCUUGCCAUCAGGGCAGAUAAAUGAGCAGCCUCCCACCUGAUUAACAUUGGACAAUUAGUAACAUGAAGGCAUGGCAGGCGAGGAGGUGGGUGGCUGGCCCUAAGACAAGUGGGUGGGCCUACAUUUAGACCGGCCCCAAAACUCCCACUUGUUACACAGGGCAAUAACAGGACCAGGAAAAAGAAUCCAGGUCUCCCCAGGUCUGUGCUGUGGACACUCGCUCACGUAACAUCCCUGCAAUACAAGCACCUGACAGAAGCAGUGAUGUCAGACACAGGAGCAAAGUGAGAGGCUGCUCAUGUCUGGACCUCUCUGCUGCAGGAGGUCAGGUCCUUUCUGCUGUGCAAUGCCAGACUCCUUUGUCUGCAUUCAUCUUUCCUGAGUGGACCUAGUGAUGCAUUUACAAAGCUACAAAUCUGUGUACUCCACAGGUGGAGAAGAGAACUGACUUCAAAGAAAGCCCUACAGAAGCUCCAAACCUCCCGUGUUUGGGCCCUGGAAAGUCACUGGUUGCCAUAACACUAGGCUGCUGAGCUUGUGCAAAAGGGAAAUGACUCAAUCCAUUAUGUUUGGGAUGCAGAUAUUUCUGUUGAAUGGUCAGCUCCCAUAGGCAGAUGCCUUGCAGCACUUUUUCUGCUGCUGUGCGUAGCUGUGUCCCAUGCCUGUAAAAGGCAGGCUUGGAACUGCAGGUGUCUUAGACAGGCUGUUCAGAUAUAGCAUAACUGUAUAUUGGACUCUGUGUGUGUGCGUGUGUGUGUGCGUGUGUGUGUGCUCAUGUGUGCAGAUGCACACGGACCUCUGGCCUGCUGGCUGACAGGGCAAAUCUCAGUAGCUGUGUAUGUCAUAAGAUGGAGACAAUGAUGCUGACCCUCUUGAUAAAGGGCUGUGAUUUGAUCUAAUGAGGAAAAUUGCAGUGGAAGAGCUAGAGAGGCUUCUGGUUAUACUUGUUCCUUACUCCUUGUAUGUGCAAUGUUGGAUUUGACCUCUGUUUCCUGUACUGCUUUCUGCUGUCUUCUAGAGCAGUAAAAUGCCUGGGUUUCAGGCUGGGAACACUAUUGCUGUCAGGCACGUGGGUUGAGGACAAUGGAUGGUCAUGACUCGCCUUUGCCAGCACGCACUGGAACACACAGUGCUGCUUUUAACACUUUCAGGAGUGGGCUGGAGCAGGGCGAGGUCUCAUGCUGCAGAUUGGAGGUCUUUUGACAUUGGGAUGAUGAGCUAGAAGGUAGGUGUGGCUAGGUGAGCCUGUUGGUGAGCUUUUUGGAGGAGGCUGCCUUGGGCUGUUACUCAUCCUUCAACAUCUGUGCAUGCUGUAGAUGGGGAGAGGGUCACUAGCAAUGGCACCAAAGCACUCCAUCAUGCUGCUGAGGGAAUAAGCCCUGCCCCUCCCUGCUGCUCCAUGUGCAACCAUCCUGGAACAGAAGCAGAAAGGAUGCCCUGGGGUGUCCUAGUGCCAUGCUCAAGACCUGAGUUUCUGGCCCGGUCAGGAGUAGCAACUUUGGGGCACUCUCGCAGCAUCCUCAUGGUCUCCUUUGGGGAGGUGAUGUGUGCAGCAUAGAAGCUGGUAGACGUGGCUUAUUUCCUCUGCAACAAGAUCAAGCACUCUACCACUGCACUGUAGAUUUGCUCCUCAUGCUGGGGGCGCAGGGAGGGGGGGGGGAGAUCCAGUAGCUAGCAUAGGAUAGGGGAAAACAGAUCCCAUGUGCUACUCAUGCCAGCAAGUCCAUUUUGGUACUGGGUAAAACUCAGGGCCAGAUUCUCAGCUGGUGUUGUGGCUGCGAUGUGGCUGAUUUGCACCAGCUGAAGUAGUAACAUCAGAUGGGAAGAGAUCACCUUAGAUUGUGAAGCCCAGACCCCUGUUGUUGUAGCCGUGCCAGAUGAUCUCGUUCACACGCUGAUCAAACUCCAUUUGAAAAUACUCCGGCUCCAUUUAUAAUUCUGGCCCGUCUUGAGAUUAUUUAACCAAAGGGCUGAAGUAUUUGCUUUAUCAGACUGUCUGAUGCCAACUGCAUCAGUGAAGUCAGGAAUGGGGUCAUACAUAGUCCGAGAAGCGUCAGCUGUGCACAUGCAUGUGGUCUCCAGGCAAGAGCACAGGGCUGGGAAGAGUUGGGCGUGAGACUUGGUUCUACUCCUGCUGGGACAUCAAUUUGCCUCUCUCUUAAAGCUAGCUUUGCUUUUUCCCCAAGGUAUUUGUUUGGGCCUGAUGAGGUCAAAUUAAACUAUUCUCAGCACCCUGUGCCUUCCUGCACUCACUGCUCCCAUCUCCUUGAAACGUGCUAGGAAGGUAGGUCAGCCUUGUGAGUAAAACACUAUACUGGAAUUCAGGAGAUUUGGGGUUCAAUUCCCAGAUGUGCCAGAGGUUUCCUGCAUGACAUGGAGUAAUAUCACUUCAUCUCUCCAGGCCUUGGUUUACCUGUCUAUUUACAAAAAAAAAAAGAGGAGAAUGGGAGCAGGGGGAGGAGCACCUAACAGCACUUCACUACUGUGCAGGAAUAUUGUGAGGAUAGAGGUACUGGCUGCUAUGCUCUUAGGAAGGAAUAGUAGUGUACAAGUAGGGAGGAGAGUACUGGUAAUAGCUGCUGACAUUUCUUUACCAGUGGGUUCCCAUUGUCACCAACCAUCAGCCUCUAUUGCAGGUCUCUCAGGCUUUGGUGUCUACCUGAAAGCCCCAGCUCCUGAUUGCAUCAGAAUUUCAGCUUCCAGUUGGGAAAAUAAAAGAUGUCUUUAGCCCUUAUGGCUUGGGAGAAAAGUUCAAAAACAUGAGCCCUAAGAGGUCAAAUGCCCAAAGGCAUUAAGAAGGAGCCCUGCAUUAUACUAUGAAUAUAAGAAGUGCCACGCUGGGUCUGACCCGUGGGUCCUCUAGCCCACUACUCUGUCCCCGACAGCCACAGAAGUAGAUGCUAGAGGGAGAGCGCUGAACCAAAUAGAUCAAGAGUGAUCUCUCCCCUCUUCAUUACCCCCCCUUGCAUCCACCCUCAUUGCUUUAGAGAUGCCUGAGGGACAUCUCCGACCGCUCUGUUCAACAGCUAUAAAUAGACCUAUCAUCUAUGAAUGUGUCUAGUCCCAUUUUGAGCCUGGCUAUGUUAUCUGUCCCUACCACCUCCUGCGGUGAUGAAUUCUGCAAAUACUUUCUCUUGUUUGUUUUAACCUGUCUCCUACUGAUUUCAGUGGGUGCUGUAUGUCUAGACUUGGAGGUUCAACUCAUGAGUUUUGAAAACCUGGGAUUGGCAAAGCUGGACUCCUUACAGCCCCUUGACUGAAAGAACAGACAGAGAUCUCUCUUCCCCCUCAUUGCAGAGCGUCAGAGAGGGAGGACAUGCAGUUGCAAGCAGGACGGGGAAGGACUGCUGUUUCAGAUGGCGGCGAGCGAGACAGCUGAUGGCUGCUGGACAAGCUAGCUGUCAGGAUGAGUCUCCCAUUGUGAAAGAGGCUGAGAACAUCAGUUCUGGACAAAGCCUUCACCCCUGUGAACUGGCUCCUCAUGCACAUGCUUGGCUUUUCCCCUAGCUCUUGCACUUGGUGGAAACCAUAAAAGCGUAAUGAAAAACAGCAGAGCAUUCCCCAACCAUACAGCUCUUUCCAAAACUGAGGAACUAUUGGCCAUGUGUUUUUAACUCUCUGGUAACAGCCUGGAUUGACUCACUGCUAUCUUUAACAUCUGGUUUGGAUUUGGACAAGGCACCCUCAGUCUUAGCAGUCUGGUUUCAUUCUUUUUGAAAUUGGGAACUUCGCAUUUAUCGAGGGUUGCUUCUGACACCCCUGAGAGAAAGCACCAGGUUUGACUCUUCUGGACUCUGCCUGAUGCUGUUCUUCUCCAAAUAGUCUAUGUGGCUGGGGACAGAAACUCAAAGACCAAUGCGCCUUGGCUUUGUAAGCUAAAACACAAUAAAUGCUUGUCUCCCUGUAGCCAUUCUCAAGGUAGCACGAUGGGAAAACACA